UACGUAGGGUGCGAGCGUUGUCCGGAAUUACUGGGCGUAAAGGGCUCGUAGGCGGCCAACUAAGUCAUACGUGAAAUCCCUCGGCUUAACCGGGGAACUGCGUCUGAUACUGGAUGGCUUGAGUUCGGGAGAGGGAUGCGGAAUUCCAGGUGUAGCGGUGAAAUGCGUAGAUAUCUGGAGGAACACCGGUGGCGAAGGCGGCAUCCUGGACCGACACUGACACUGAGGAGCGAAAGCCAGGGGAGCAAACGGG
rnacentral:rRNA from 1 species